UGUGGCAUACGGCUCAGUAACACGUAGUCAACAUGCCCAGGGGACGUGGAUAACCUCGGGAAACUGAGGAUAAACCGCGAUAGGUCACUACUUCUGGAAUGGGUAAUGACCCAAACCUAUAUGGCCCCUGGAUUGGACUGCGGCCGAUCAGGCUGUUGGUGAGGUAAUGGCCCACCAAACCUGUAACCGGUACGGGCUCUGAGAGGAGGAGCCCGGAGAUGGGCACUGAGACAAGGGCCCAGGCCCUAUGGGGCGCAGCAGGCGCGAAACCUCUGCAAUAGGCGAAAGCUUGACAGGGUUACUCUGAGUGAUUUCCGUUAAGGAGAUCUUUUGGCACCUCUAAAAAUGGUGCAGAAUAAGGGGUGGGCAAGUCUGGUGUCAGCCGCCGCGGUAAUACCAGCACCCCGAGUGGUCGGGACGUUUAUUGGGCCUAAAGCAUCCGUAGCCGGUUCUACAAGUCUUCCGUUAAAUCCACCUGCUCAACAGAUGGGCUGCGGAAGAUACUAUGGAGCUAGGAGGCGGGAGAGGCAAGCGGUACUCGAUGGGUAGGGGUAAAAUCCGUUGAUCCAUUGAAGACCACCAGUGGCGAAGGCGGCUUGCCAGAACGCGCUCGACGGUGAGGGAUGAAAGCUGGGGGAGCAAACCGGAUUAGAUACCCGGGUAGUCCCAGCUGUAAACGAUGCAGACUCGGUGAUGAGUUGGCUUUAUGCCAACUCAGUGCCGCAGGGAAGCCGUUAAGUUUGCCGCCUG
rnacentral:rRNA from 1 species